UUUGUGCUCAGAGGCUUCUUUCUCUUCGCCUCACCUAGACGCUACAAAGAGAGCAGUUCCUAUUUAGCAUGUACAUUCCUCUCAUGCAGACUUGCAAUUUUAAUAGAAAUGUUAGCUUCUGCAGAAAUGUCAAGCAAUAACUAAGGUCGAGCAAUGAAUUAUACCUUUUGAAGUAGUUAGUUGAUGUUUCACAAAUAGGUUUCAGAUUAAGUUGAGUUUGAUGUGUUGCCUUUGCUUGAUAGGAGGAUUGUAGAUACACCUAACUAUUCACCAACUCUUCUAGUUUGAGCUCGAACUGAUCAACCACAAUUGCGCAAAAAUGAAAUUAGUAAAGGAAAUAUUGUAUUAAGUAUACAUGUGCUCAUAAAAGCAAGACUCAAUGUACUUAUGAUAUUGGGUCGGGACGAUAAUUUCUGGCACUGCAUCGCCCUCUACCAUUUGCGAUAGCCCCCUGGUCCAGAACUAGGUGGACUUCCAAUUCUUAAUCAAAGUGCGAGUGUCCCAAACAAAAGGCACAUGUGAGUGCUAAGGGUUUAUGCAGUACUAUCCCUUAUGGUCCUUACCCUAGAACUGUUGCUAGGUUAGAAUAUGGUCUAAAAUAUGUGAUGAGGCAUAUCUUCUCCCCUACUAGCCUUCUUCCACAAAAGGAAGCUCACUAACAAUUGGCUCUAAGCAUCUGGGUAGGACGAGGUUGUACUACCUAAGGAUGAAUCUGAAGAAAGGAUGGAAAGACAACCUCAUGCCUUCACAAAGAAUAACUUCAAUAACAGUGAGGCAACCCUGCCUAGAAAAACAGGCUCGCUCUUCAGGGGUUGGUACGAAUAGCUCAAUGGUGUCCGAAAUUCUAAGUUAUCUUCUUAUAUUUGUCCAUAUCGUUUUCCUUAACACCAGUCGGCCACAAUGAAGCCCCCAUCUAACACUAUAAUUGAUUGGCCUUUCUUGCAUCAUCCAAGCACUAUGGGCCCCCUCAAUGGCCUCCAUGAUCCCAUCAAUAGAGAUCAAGACAAGCAAUCCCAUCUCUGUAGCUAAAGAACUAAGUUCAGUGGGUAAGGAUUUCUUCUUAGAGAUUUCUUCCCUAGACGACGAGGCCAUGAAUGUUACAACACACAUUUUUAUUUAGUCAAAGUCAAUAGUGGAAUUUUCAAAGUCAAGUCCAAUGAGGACUUGUAUGAAAUAAAUCAUUUUUAUUGGGACUUGAUUGACCAAAUCAUUUUAUUUGGGUUUAUUUUGCAAUUGGCAAAAUAUGAAGGUUGAAUUGGAUAUAUUUAAAAGUUUGGAAUUUAUAUAUAUACUUUUGGAAGUUUAAGGAUUAAAGGUUAUUAAAAAGUAAAGUUAAGGGACUUAAUUUGCAAUUAUGGGAUUGUGGACAAAUUAAUUCAACCUUUGACCCAUUUUUUUCCUCAUUUUCACACCAAAACACACACACACACUNUUUUUUAUUCUGCCUUCGUCUGUUUCAACUUAAUCUCCUCCAUGACCUCCCUAAACUUAGAGGUCUUGUCCUAUAGCAUCUUCACCUCCAUUUCACCUAUUUCGGCUCUUUGUAAGUUCUCCUGGUUAGAGGUUUGGAGGCUUUUUAGCUCCAUUUAGGAACUCAAAAAUAAGCCCAUCGAACGAGCCUGAAGGUCAAAAUUCGCUUCCACUAUAUCUAUCGAGUUGCAAGUCUUCACAUAAUUAGAAUAUUUCUUUUUCCCGCAAAUGUGGUAAGACCACAUCUCUGACUGGAGCUCAGCAUGAAGUGUUUCAAUAUAGGCCCGAUCUAGCUCAUCUACUCUACCACCUAAAAAGCUACCAACCUUCCUCUCAGAGGCCAUCUCUUUAAUUGUCUACUUUUCCUACCACCUCCUGAGAUGCUCCCUCAACUUGCUCUUCGCCUUCCAUGUCUAUUACUUGGAUAACUGUAAUUACCUCAACUACAAAGGGCUUCUUUCUAGGCCGCUCAAUUGUGAGCUUCUUUGUUGGAUGGGGAAGGUCAAUAUUGGUUAUAGUGAAUUUCUUCUUUGAAGGCUUCUCCUUAGGGGCCUCUCUUUGUCACCCAUCUCUUUGGCCUUGGCUUUGGCAGUAUUGAUAUCCUUCUUCUUCUCCUAAGAGAUGUGGGCCAAUUCAUCUCUCUGUAACUUAUAAGCUGAAAGCUCAGAAAUGACUAACCUUAAAGA
rnacentral:sRNA from 1 species